CUUUUGUGGUACCCCCAAUUGAAUGACAGCCAUUUAUUUCCAUCCAUCCAAUGGAUCAAAAAGUUUAAUACCACGGUCUAAAACUUGACCGGUAUGUUACAUACCACAGGAAAUUUUCGCACCCCACACGAAAAUAUCGUAGACGGGCUCAGGCCAAUAGACUGGUCCAGGCCCAACAAGUUGUUCUAGCGUUCUAGUCCUGCGAUAAUCCCGUCCGUAUCACUCGAAGGAAUGGCCGCCGCCAAGUCCAUCCCCUACCUAGGUCGUCGACCUGCCGCCCAUCUCCGUCGACGGCGGCGACGAAAGUGGAGGAGGUUUCUUCUCCGGUAGCUGCCCCACCGCACCUCUGUUGAUCCGUCGCAUCACGUCCCCGUCCGCGUCCGGCAUCGCUCUCCUGCAGCCGGAAAGGAUCUCGCGGCCGCCGGCAAGGAGCUCUUCACCGCCGGAUCCUCGUCUCGUCCCUGAACUCAUCCCUCAGUGCCUGGGAAAGCUACCGGUGGCUGCGGCGGAGGAGGAGAUUGCGCUCAUACAGGAUGUUCACCGAGUCUUUCCUAAGGCUCAGGGUCAUGAAAGGUUCAGACUCAGUUGGACUUGGUUCUGGACUCAAAGAAGAUUAUACAACAAAUAUGUGAUGCCAAGCUUAAUAUGAAGCAUAUAUAGCAUUUCAGGAUGCGGUGAUAGAAGAGCUGGAAGCGAAAAUUAAAGAAAAUAAUAAGAAAGAUGUUGCACAAGACAAGAUAAAGGAGCUCGAGGUUUUUAUACAUAAAUGAUAAGAUUUUCGGUGGCGACAGUUAGUGUAUUCAUCGCCUUAGCUGCUGUACUAACUUACAUGUAUGUUAAGUUCUGAUUCGUUGAGAUAUCAUUAGUGAUAUUGAUUAUCGAAUUUAUAAUA